CCUACGAGGUGCUGCAGUGAGGAAUAUUGGUCAAUGGGCGCAAGCCUGAACCAGCCCAGUCGCGUGAAGGAUGACUGCCCUCCGGUUUGUAAACUUCUUUUAUAAAGGAAUCAAGUGAGGCACGUGUGCCUUUUUGUAUGUACUUUAUGAAUAAGGAUCGGCUAACUCCGUGCCAGCAGCCGCGGUAAUACGGAGGAUCCGAGCGUUAUCCGGAUUUAUUGGGUUUAAAGGGAGCGUAGAUGGGUUGUUAAGUCAGUUGUGAAAGUUUGCGGAUCAACCGUAAAAUUGCAAUUGAUACUGGCAGUCUUGAGUACAGGUGAGGUAGGCGGAAUUCGGGGUGUAGCGGUGAAA
rnacentral:rRNA from 1 species